rnacentral:lncRNA from 1 species
CAUGAGCCACAACUAAUGAGCUUCUGUGCCACAACCGCCAACGCCCAAGUGCCCAGAGCCCGCCAGUCGCAACCGCUGAAACCUAUGAACCUAGAGCCUGUGCCCUGCGGCAGGAGAAACCACACACAAGCCCGUGCACCAGAGCUGGAGAGCAGCCCUCCACUCGCCACAGCUAGAGAAAGGAAGACCGCACGCAGCAAGAACCCAGUGCAGCCAAAAAUAAAUAGAGCAGGGUAUGCAUGUCAAAAAAAAAAAAAAAAAAAGGAAUGAGUAAUCAAAUGGUAUGGUGACAGGAGGGUGAUUAAAAUUGAGCAGGAAAAUAAAAUAGAAUUUUGGAAUUGAGGCAGUUUGUUGUCUCAGGUUCAGCUCCUUUCAUCAUUUCCAUCCUAGAAAGAACUAAUCAAGAAGGGGCCUGGAUGAGAAUUCUGUGGAGUAUGAAUGCCAACACUUAUUUAAAAACUCCACAAGUAGAGAAAAGUCAGAGCAUUUUCCUGGCUUUCCUCCCCAAACAAAAUUCAUACCAAUAUGACCAGUAAUUUAUCCUGCAUUUGACAUUUUCUAAUCUCAUUAUCAGGUAUUCUGGGGAAACUUCUUGGAAUUAGAGGACUUGGAAAGUUUAUAUUUUAGUAAAAUCUCUAAACCAUGGGAAUUCUUUGUCCAUUUUCUUCAUUUCUUUCUUAAAUAUAAUCAUAAAGGAAAAUGAAAAAUAUUAGUAGAAAGUAGCCAAAAAGUCUACCUGUGUCUCUCGAAUGACUUCAGAAUGAGAAUCUAGAACUGUAGAUUUUCACAUUGAAAGUUGCUGUUUCUCUAAAUGUAAAUGAAGUGUCUGCGUACUAGAAAUCUAAGCUGCUGUUGCUUUUGAGCUUCCUUCCCUUACUGAAGAUAUGGGUGGCAGACUCUGCAACCUCAUGGACUGUGGCCUGCCAGGCUCCUCUGACCAAGUGUUUCUCCAGGCAAGAAUACUGGAGUGGGUUGCCGUUUGUCACUGACAAAUAAAAUACAAAAUAUUUAAAGUUUACAAUGUGAUGACUUGAUGUAUGUGUACAUCAAAGGAUUCCCACAAUCUAGUUAACACAUCCAGCACCUCAAAUAUUUACCUUUCCUUUCCUUAGUAAAUUUCCUUUCCUUAGUUGAAAAUUUACUGGGUUUUUGUCAAAACCCAGGGGCUCUGGGUGCCCUGCUUCAUGCAUUGAACUUGGACUGGUCAUCUAU